AUUGAACGCUGGCGGCGUGCUUAACACAUGCAAGUCGUGCGGUAACAGGCGUAGCAAUACGUGCUGACGAGCGGCGAACGGGUGCGUAAUACAUGGGAAUCUGCCCUUUAGUGGGGAAUAACCCGGCGAAAGCCGGGCUAAUGCCGCAUAAGAUCUUCGGAUGAAAGCGGGGAUCGUAAGACCUCGCGCUGAUGGAUGAGCCCAUGUCGGAUUAGCAGUUGGUGAGGUAACGGCUCACCAAGGCGACGAUCCGUAGCUGGUCUGAGAGGACGGCCAGCCACACUGGGACUGAGACACGGCCCAGACUCCUACGGGAGGCAGCAGUGGGGAAUAUUGGACAAUGGGCGAAAGCCUGAUCCAGCGACGCCGCGUGUGUGAAGAAGGCCUGC
rnacentral:rRNA from 1 species